UACGUAGGCAGCGAGCGUUGUUCGGAGUUACUGGGCGUAAAGCGUGCGCAGGCGGUGAUGUAAGACAGAUGUGAAAUCCCCGGGCUCAACCUGGGACCUGCAUUUGUGACUGCAUCGCUAGAGUACGGCAGAGGGGGAUGGAAUUCCGCGUGUAGCAGUGAAAUGCGUAGAUAUGCGGAGGAACACCGAUGGCGAAGGCAAUCCCCUGGGCCUGUACUGACGCUCAUGCACGAAAGCGUGGGGAGCAAACAGG
rnacentral:rRNA from 1 species